rnacentral:lncRNA from 1 species
UUAAUUUUAUUUUCCCUCCUUAAAAGCUUAUUAUUUGAAUUAUAUGCACAUGUAAGACUAUUUACAAUAAUUCACAGGUUAAGUGGUGUUGAUAAGUGGUCAUACUUUGAUUUCUUAUUUCAUCGUCUUAAGAAUUUAAGUGCAGCCGGGCGGUGGUGGCGCACGCCUUUAAUCCCAGCACUUGGGAGGCAGAGGCAGGUGGAUUUCUGAGUUGGAGGCCAGCCUGGUCUACAAAGUGAGUUCCAGGACAGCCAGGGCUACACAGAGAAACCCUGUCUCAGAAAACCAAAAAAAAAAAAAAAAAAAGAAAAGAAAAGAAAAAAAAAAAAAAGAAUUUAAGUGCAGACUUACAUAACAUGACAUGAUUAGUGGAGUUUCUCAUUAAACGCUGAGGUCUCUAUGCCACACUGUAACAAGGCACUAAGACAGAAUAGAGACCUGUGCAGUUGGGACAGCUGAAGCCAUCUUUACCAAUUUAACAAAAGAAACUUCAUUUUUAUUUAAGAGCUAUUUGCGAAUGAAAUUGAAAAAUGCAUUCAUCUUGUUUGUUUUUCUAAUUAUUUGAAGAAAUGAUUUGUAUUGUAUUAUAAGACAAGUAUACACAGACAAAUUGGGAAAUGACAGCACACUGAGAGUGUGUGUAGAGUUGACGCCUGUCAGAGCCUGUGCUGUGCCAGUGGUCACGGUCAUCACUGUACCUGAGCCCACAGUUAUCUUCUAAGAAGUUAUGUUUGCAGUGAAUAGAACAUUGACUGAAAUUAGGUGUUUAUAUUACUGUCACCAUGAAUCAUUGGGGUUAGUAAUUUUUAAAUAAACCUGGUAAAUAUCCGAGAGACUAACCUAUACUAAGUUCAUAAAUUAUACCUAGUGUAGCAAUGUUGCUGUUCUCUAGUUGGAGUCUCACGGUGGGUUUCUGUCAUCUGACUGUUUCUCAGGGGACAGUUACGGUAGUGAUUGGGUUGUGGGUGUGACUGAGUAAUUGGAACACUUUGUGAAUAUAUGGCUUAGUGUUAACAGGAAAAUAAAGUAUGGUUUUCUUUUUAUACUUACUCC